GAUGAAGAACGUAGUGAAAUGCGAUACUUGGUGUGAAUUGCAGAAUCCCGUGAACCAUCGAGUCUUUGAACGCAAGUUGCGCCCGAAGCCAUUAGGCCGAGGGCACGCCUGCCUGGGCGUCACACGUCGUUGCCCCCCCAUCUAAUCCUUCGGGAUUGCGGGGGGCGGAUGAUGGCCUCCCGUGCGCCUCGUCGCGCGGUUGGCAUAAAUGCCAAGUCCUCGGCGACGCACGCCACGACAAUCGGUGGUUGCGAAACCUCGGUUGCCCGUUGUGUGCGGUCGUCGCGCAUCGAGGGCUCGAAAAAAUUGCCGGGCUCCGGCUCGGCUUUCAACGCGACCCCAGGUCAGGCGGGGUUACCCGCUGAAUUUAAGCAUAUCAAUAAGCGGAGGA
rnacentral:misc_RNA from 1 species